rnacentral:rRNA from 1 species
UUAAAGUCUAAUCUGCCCUAUGAGGAUUUAAAUGGCCGCGGUAUUUUGACCGUGCAAAGGUAGCAUAAUAAUUAGUUUUUUAAUUGAAAGCUGGAAUGAAUGAUUGAACGAGAAAAUAGCUGUCUCAAUUUAAUUUUAUUAGAAUUUUAUUUUUAAGUAAAAAAGCUUAAAUUAAGUUAAAAGACGAGAAGACCCUAUAGAGUUUUAUAUUCAAUUUACUAUUAAUUUUUUAGAGGUUUUUUAUUAUUAUUUAAGGGAAUAUUUUGUUGGGGUGAUAGAAAAAUUUGAUUAACUUUUUUUAAUUUUAAUUACAUUAAUAUAUGAUUUUUUGAUCCAUUAUUUAUGAUUAUAAGAUUAAGUUACCUUAGGGAUAACAGCGUAAUUUUUUUUUAGAGUUCUUAUCGAAAGAAAAGAUUGCGACCUCGAUGUUGGAUUAAAAUUAAUAUAGGGUGUAGAAGCUUUAUUAUUAGGUCUGUUCGACCUUUAAAAUUUUACA